rnacentral:rRNA from 1 species
UACGUAGGGUGCAAGCGUUAAUCGGAAUUACUGGGCGUAAAGCGUGCGCAGGCGGCUUUGCAAGACAGAUGUGAAAUCCCCGGGCUCAACCUGGGAACUGCGUUUGUGACUGUAUGACUAGAGUACGGUAGAGAGGGGUGGAAUUCCUGGUGUAGCAGUGAAAUGCGUAGAUAUCAGGAGGAACAUCGAUGGCGAAGGCAGCCCCUUGGACCUGUACUGACGCUCAUGCACGAAAGCGUGGGGAGCAAACAGG